UCCAUCAUUCUUCCCUCGCGAUCUAGGGUUCGCCUUUAGUGAUCUUCGCAAUGUUUCCAGGGUUCCUGCAGCGGGGCGGUGGCGGUGGCGGUGGCGGAGGCUUCUUCGUUCGGCACAGUAGAUGGAGCCGGAAGCCACGAAAGCGGUGACAGCGUGCGGGAGCAGGAUCUCUUCCACCCCAUCGCCAGAAUCGUUGUUCCGUUCGAAAAUCGGAAGAGUGGCGAUUCCGGCGAGAUGAGAGCUCCAGCUUCCCGAUCGUUCUCCCAGAUGGGUUUCCUCGAAGAUUUCCAAGGCACGGUCAGCUCCUGGACCACCGCUCCAUCCAUUCCGUCAUUGAGAAGAUAAGCGAGGAGCACCUCACAUUGAGUGACCCAGACCGCAACUACCACUACCAUUGUAACUAGGUUCAUCAACAAAAUUCUCUUGCACAGAACAUGAAUUACAUAUCCUCAGGUAAUCUAUUAAUGUGAAUAUUGUGUGAUGCAAUACAUAAAAGAGAUAAGAGAUAGUUUGGGAUGAAGAUCCAUAGUUAGAGAAGAAGUAUCAAUCAAUAACUAGUAUUGCAAUCAAUCUCAGUUGAUGAAGUAAGAUUAAAUUUGCAGUAUCAAUCAAUAAUUAGUAUUGUAAUCAAUCUCAGUGUGAUGAAGUGAGAAGUAAAUUGAGUGAAUUUGUCAACUCCUAUGUAAGUGCUUAAGGAUACAUUGUGAUAUAGUUUUUUGGAUUAUAUUUAAAGUUUUGUAAAUACAAUUUUGAGUGAAAUUGAUGAAAUAUGUCUUUUGUGAA